CCUACGGGAGGCAGCAGUGAGGAAUAUUGGUCAAUGGGCGCGAGCCUGAACCAGCCAAGUCGCGUGAGGGAAGACGGUCCUAUGGAUUGUAAACCUCUUUUGUCGGGGAGCAAAAGACGCCACGCGUGGCGUUCCGAGAGUACCCGAAGAAAAAGCAUCGGCUAACUCCGUGCCAGCGGCCGCGGUAAUACGGAGGAUGCGAGGGUUAUCCGGAUUUAUUGGGUUUAACGGUUGUGCAGGCGGCCUGUUAAGUCAGGGGUAAAAGCCCGGGGCGCAACCCCGGCCAGCCGUUGAAACUGGCGGGCGUGAGUGGGAGAGAGGGACGCGGAAUGCGCGGUGUAGCGGUGAAAUGCUUAGAGAUCGCGCAGAACCCCGAUGGCGAAGGCAGCGUACCGGCUCCACACUGACGCUGAGGCACGAAAGCGUGGGUAUCGAACAGGAUUAGAUACCCUAGUAGUC
rnacentral:rRNA from 1 species